GGGGUCACAUUUGACCAUCUGGUUGGGCUGCUCAAGCAAGCAUUGGUGAUUUCUGCCACAGUUAACUGCUCAUGGUAAGCUUUCUCUGCUGAGAUGACAGGUGCAUAUGUGGCCAGGGGAAAGUGGAUACGUGGGUAAGGCACCAAGUUGGUCUGGAACUCUGUCAGAUCAACAUUCAGUGCCCCAUCAAAGCGCAGAGAAGCUGUGAUGGAUGACACAAUUUGGCUGAUGAGUCGAUUCAGAUUGGUGUAGGUGGGGCGCUCAAUGUCAAGGUUCCUGCGGCAGAUGUCAUAAAUGGCUUCGUUGUCUACCAUGAAGGCACAGUCUGAGUGCUCAAGUGUGGUGUGGGUUGUCAAGAUGGAGUUAUAGGGUUCUACAACAGCUGUGGACACUUGGGGAGCGGGGUAGAUGGAGAAUUCCAGCUUAGAUUUCUUCCCGUAGUCAACAGAGAGACGUUCCAUCAACAAGGAAGUAAAACCAGACCCAGUGCCACCACCAAAACUAUGGAAGACAAGGAAGCCCUGGAGACCUGUG